rnacentral:rRNA from 1 species
UACGGGGGGGGCAAGCGUUGUUCGGAUUUAUUGGGCGUAAAGAGCGCGUAGGCGGCCCGGAAAGUCGGAUGUGAAAACCCGGGGCUCAACCCCGGGCCUGCAUCCGAUACUCCCGGGCUGGAGGCAGGUAGGGGAGAUCGGAAUUCCUGGUGUAGCGGUGAAAUGCGCAGAUAUCAGGAGGAACACCGGUGGCGAAGGCGGAUCUCUGGGCCUGUCCUGACGCUGAGGCGCGAAAGCUAGGGGAGCGAACAGG